rnacentral:rRNA from 1 species
UACGUGGGGACCAAGCGUUGUUCGGAUUUACUGGGCGUAAAGGGCGCGUAGGCGGCAAUUCAAGUCAUCUGUGAAAUCUCCGGGCUUAACUCGGAACGGUCAGAUGAUACUGCUUUGCUCGAGUGCGGAAGGGGCAAUCGGAAUUCUUGGUGUAGCGGUGAAAUGCGUAGAUAUCAAGAGGAACACCUGAGGUGAAGACGGGUUGCUGGGCCGACACUGACGCUGACAGCGCGAAAGCCAGGGGAGCAAACGGG